AUUGAACGCUGGCGGCAGGCCUAACACAUGCAAGUCGAACGAGUGGCGGACGGGUGAGUAAUGUCUGGGAAACUGCCCGAUGGAGGGGGAUAACUACUGGAAACGGUAGCUAAUACCGCAUACCAUCGGAUGUGCCCAGAUGGGAUUAGCUAGUAGGUGGGGUAACGGCUCACCUAGGCGACGAUCCCUAGCUGGUCUGAGAGGAUGACCAGCCCAACUGGAACUGAGACACGGUCACGCCUCCUCCGGGAUGCAGCAGUGGGGAAUAUUGCACAAUGGGCGCAAGCCUGAUGCAGCCCUGCCGCGUGGAUGAAGAAGGCCUUCGGGUUGUAAAGUACUUUCAGCGAGGAGGCGUUACUCGCAGAAGAAGCACCGGCUAACUCCGUGCCAGCAGCCGCGGUAAUAC
rnacentral:rRNA from 1 species